rnacentral:rRNA from 1 species
UCCAGACUCCUACGGGAGGCAGCAGUGGGGAAUAUUGCACAAUGGGGGGAACCCUGAUGCAGCGACGCCGCGUGAAGGAAGAAGUAUCUCGGUAUGUAAACUUCUUUCAGCAGGGAAGAAAGGGGACGGUACCUGACUAAGAAGCCCCGGCUAACUACGUGCCAGCAGCCGCGGUAAUACGUAGGGGGCGAGCGUUAUCCGGAAUUACUGGGUGUAAAGGGAGCGUAGACGGCGAGGUAAGCCUGAAGUGGAAGCCCGCGGCCCAACCGCGGAACUGCUUUGGGAACUGUUUUGCUGGAGUAUGGGAGGGGUAAGCGGAAUUCCUGGUGUAGCGGUGAAAUGCGUAGAUAUCAGGAGGAACACCGGUGGCGAAGGCGGCUUACUGGACCAUAACUGACGUUGAGGCUCGAAAGCGUGGGGAGCAAACAGGAUUAGAUACCCGAGUAC